CCUACGGGCGGCAGCAGUAGGGAAUAUUGCUCAAUGGGGGAAACCCUGAAGCAGCAACGCCGCGUGGAGGAUGACGGUUUUCGGAUUGUAAACUCUUUUUUUUAUAGAAGUUAAUGACGGUAUCUAACGAAUAAGCACCGUCUAAUUCCGUUCCAGCAGCCGCGGUAAUACGGAGGGUGCAAGCGUUACUCGGAAUAACUGGGCGUAAAGCGCGCGUAGGCGGGAUAGCAAGUCAGAUGUGAAAUCCUAUGGCUUAACCAUAGAACUGCAUUUGAAACUGUUAUUCUAGAGUAUGGGAGAGGUAGGUGGAAUUCGUGGUGUAGGGGUAAAAUCCGUAGAGAUCAAGAGGAAUACUCAUUGCGAAGGCGACCUGCUAGAACAUAACUGACGCUGAUGCGCGAAAGCGUGGGGAGCAAACAGGAUUAGAUACCCUUGUAGUC
rnacentral:rRNA from 1 species